rnacentral:rRNA from 1 species
UAGUUUGAUUCUGGCUCAGGAUGAACGCUGGCGGCAUGCCUAAUACAUGCAAGUCGAACGGAGUGAAGCCUUCGGGUUUCAUUCAGUGGCGAACGGGUGAGUAAUACGCAGGGAACCUGGCCAUGGCAGGGGGAUACACUCUGGAAACGGAGCAUAAGACCCCAUAGGCAGUAAGGCGGCAUCGCCUUGCUGUUAAAGAAAGCUGAAAGGCUUUGGCGAUGGAUGGACCUGCGGUGCAUUAGCUUGUUGGUGAGGCAACGGCUUACCAAGGCGAUGAUGCAUAGCCGGCCUGAGAGGGCGGACGGCCACACUGGGACUGAGACACGGCCCAGACUCCUGCGGGAGGCAGCAGUAGGGAAUUUUCGUCAAUGGGCGCAAGCCUGAACGAGCAAUGCCGCGUGAGUGAGGAAGGUCUUCGGACUGUAAAGCUCUGUUGCCGGGGAAAAAGGGGAAAUGCAGGAAAUGGCAUUUCAUGGAUGGUACCCGGCCAGAAAGCCACGGCUAACUACGUGCCAGCAGCCGCGGUAAUACGUAGGUGGCGAGCGUUAUCCGGAAUGAUUGGGCGUAAAGGGUGCGCAGGCGGUCUGUUAAGUCUGAAGGCAAAGGGAUGAGCUCAACUCAUUUAUGAUUCAGAAACUGGCAGACUUGAGGACAGGAGAGGGCGGUGGAACUCCAUGUGUAGCGGUAAAAUGCGCAGAGAUAUGGAAGAACACCAGUGGCGAAGGCGACCGCCUGGCCUGUGACUGACGCUGAGGCACGAAAGCGUGGGGAGCAAAUAGGAUUAGAUACCCUAGUAGUCCACGCCGUAAACGAUGAGGAGCAGGUGUUGGGAGUGAAAUCUCAGUGCCGAAGCCAACGCAGUGACUCCUCCGCCUGGGGAGUAUGCACGCAAGUGUGAAACUCAAAGGAAUUGACGGGGGCCCGCACAAGCGGUGGAGUAUGUGGUUUAAUUCGAAGCAACGCGAAGAACCUUACCAGGUUUUGACAUCGGAUGCGAAGGCGCAGAGAUGCGCUGGAGGCUAUCAUCCAGACAGGUGGUGCAUGGUUGUCGUCAGCUCGUGUCGUGAGAUGUUCAGUUAAGUCUGGCAACGAGCGCAACCCCCGUGGUAUGUUACUAACGCAUUUGGGCGAGGACUCAUAUCAGACUGCCGGUGACAAACCGGAGGAAGGCGGGGAUGACGUCAAAUCAUCAUGCCCCUUAUGACCUGGGCUACACACGUACUACAAUGGCGUCUACAGAGGGAAGCGACCCUGAGAAGGGAAGCGAAACCGGAAAAGGGCGUCCCAGUUCGGAUUGAAGUCUGCAACCCGACUUCAUGAAGAUGGAAUCGCUAGUAAUCGCGGAUCAGCAUGCCGCGGUGAAUACGUUCCCGGGCCUUGUACACACCGCCCGUCAAACCAUGGAAGCCGGCAACGCCCGAAGCCGGUGGCAUAACCUUUUAGGAGUGAGCCGUCGAAGGCGGGGCCGAUGACUGGGGUUAAGUCGUAACAAGGUACCC